rnacentral:rRNA from 1 species
GUCCACGCCUUAAACGAUGUAUGCUUGAUAUCGGAGAAAUUCGGUGUCGUAGGUAACCUGGUAAGCAUACCACCUGGGAAGUACGAUCGCAAGGUUGAAACUCAAAGGAAUUGACGGGGCCCGCACAAGCGGUGGAUCAUGUGGUUUAAUUCGAUGCAACGCGAAAAACCUUACCUGGGCUUGAAGUACAAGUAGUAAAGAGAUGAAAGUCAAAUGAAUCGUAAAGCCGAUUGCUUGUAGAGGUGCUGCAUGGCUGUCGU